UUUAAAGCCCCCACCUUCACAAACUGAAGAAAAUCAUAAUCCUAACCAUAACUUUUUAACAAACAGAUCGUCGCGGAAGACGAUGCCGGCCCUGGCUUGUUGCGUAGAUGCUGCCCUUGCGCCUCCCGGCUACGCUUUUCAUGCAGGGGAUAGCUCCCUUCCGUCGCCGGUCCAAUUUUCCGGCGUACCUCCGGCACCAACCACCACCCCCACUGCCUCCAUCGAAAACUCUCCUUCCCAUUGGUCAC
rnacentral:misc_RNA from 1 species